rnacentral:rRNA from 1 species
CUACGGGCCGCUCCAGUGAGGAAUAUUGCACAAUGGGGGGAACCCUGAUGCAGCAACGCCGCGUGGAGGAUGACGCAUUUCGGUGUGUAAACUCCUUUUAUAUGUCAAGAAAAUGACGGUAGCAUAUGAAUAAGCACCGGCUAACUCCGUGCCAGCAGCCGCGGUAAUACGGAGGGUGCAAGCGUUACUCGGAAUCACUGGGCGUAAAGGACGCGUAGGCGGGUUGGAAAGUCAGGUGUGAAAUCCUACAGCUUAACUGUAGAACUGCACUUGAAACUUCUAAUCUAGAGUAUGGGAGGGGGAGAUGGAAUUAGUGGUGUAGGGGUAAUAUCCGUAGAUAUCACUAGGAAUACCUAAAGCGAAGGCGAUCUCCUAGAACAUUACUGACGCUAAGGCGUGAAAGCGUGGGGAGCAAACAGGAUUAGAUACCCCAGUAGUC